rnacentral:rRNA from 1 species
UCGAGGGGCAUCGGGAUUAAGCUUGCUUCAAUUGCCGGCGACCGGCGCACGGGUGCGUAACGCGUAUGUAACCUACCUAUAACAGGGGCAUAACACUGAGAAAUUGGUACUAAUUCCCCAUAAUAUUCGGAGAGGCAUCUCUCCGGGUUGAAAACUCCGGUGGUUAUAGAUGGACAUGCGUUGUAUUAGCUAGUUGGUGAGGUAACGGCUCACCAAGGCAACGAUACAUAGGGGGACUGAGAGGUUAACCCCCCACACUGGUACUGAGACACGGACCAGACUCCUACGGGAGGCAGCAGUGAGGAAUAUUGGUCAAUGGACGCAAGUCUGAACCAGCCAUGCCGCGUGCAGGAAGACGGCUCUAUGAGUUGUAAACUGCUUUUGUACGAGGGUAAACUCACCUACGUGUAGGUGACUGAAAGUAUCGUACGAAUAAGGAUCGGCUAACUCCGUGCCAGCAGCCGCGGUAAUACGGAGGAUUCAAGCGUUAUCCGGAUUUAUUGGGUUUAAAGGGUGCGUAGGCGGUUUGAUAAGUUAGAGGUGAAAUCCCGGGGCUUAACUCCGGAACUGCCUCUAAUACUGUUAGACUAGAGAGUAGUUGCGGUAGGCGGAAUGUAUGGUGUAGCGGUGAAAUGCUUAGAGAUCAUAC